GUCCUGUAAGCCUAGUUGGUUAAAGCGCCGUCCUAGUAACACGAAGGUCAUGAGUUCGAUCCUCUUACGGGACA
rfam:Daphnia pulex DAPPTscaffold_1217_Cont12241, whole genome shotgun sequence.